rnacentral:rRNA from 1 species
AUGGAGGAUUCGUGGGACGAGGAAGGGCGGCGGCUGGCGGCGGCAAGGGUGGUGCACAGCCAGGUGAGGAAGAUCAAGGAGGAGGAGGGCGACAAGGUGAAGGUGGACGAGACGUACCAGCAGCAGCAGCUGGCCGAGAUGCGCCUCGUCCUCCGGGACCUGGGCCGGCAGCGCUCGCGCUCGCCGCUCGGCCGGGUCGGCCGCCCGGCCAUCUCCAUCGGCGGCGACUCCUAG